rnacentral:rRNA from 1 species
CCUACGGGGGGCUGCAGUGGGGAAUAUUGGACAAUGGGGGGAACCCUGAUCCAGCCAUGCCGCGUGUGUGAAGAAGGCCCUCGGGUUGUAAAGCACUUUCAGUGAGGAAGAACGCCUGGUGGUUAAUACCCAUCAGGAAAGACAUCACUCACAGAAGAAGCACCGGCUAACUCCGUGCCAGCAGCCGCGGUAAUACGGAGGGUGCGAGCGUUAAUCGGAAUUACUGGGCGUAAAGCGCGCGUAGGUGGCUUGAUAAGCCGGUUGUGAAAGCCCCGGGCUCAACCUGGGAACGGCAUCCGGAACUGUCAAGCUAGAGUGCAGGAGAGGAAGGUAGAAUUCCCGGUGUAGCGGUGAAAUGCGUAGAGAUCGGGAGGAGUACCAGUGGCGAAGGCGGCCUUCUGGACUGACACUGACACUGAGGUGCGAAAGCGUGGGUAGCAAACAGGAUUAGAUACCCUUGUAGUC